CAACGUCCUGGAAACGGUGAAUGGAAACUUAGAAAUAAGGAGCCGCGCACAGGGAGCUCGAAGAUGCAACUCAGGCUGAUGGAGAUGAUUGUGUUUGGGCUCCUUGGUUAGUAAGUUCAAGAUGCUGGAAGUAGCGUGUGAACUGUGUUGCAGCCCAUCAAAAUGGUGUUUUCUUUCUCUUUCAUCUCUUACGAGCACAAAGAUGCUGUAUGCCUUGGAACAUGCCAUGAAUGCAUGCUGGGAGUUCCUGAAGGUGCUUAAGCCUGGACAGGUUUUCCUGGUGACCAAUGAGUGCCCUAGGGUCUGUGCUGAGGAUAAAGAACUCCAGUUCCAGAACCCCCACUGAAGACUGCAAGCAGGGGAGUCCUUGUCUGCCUCUGCACCCAACACUUGCCCUGUUACAUGCUCCGUUUCUUCCUGCCUGUCCACACGAGCGAAUCCCCCCAGCAGCCCUCAUGUGUUUCAGCACUGUCAAAAAAACCUCAAGAGAGCAUCAUGGAGUUCCUUUGGAACAGAAAGUGUGACCCAGUCAGGCCUGUGCUGCUUAACCAAGCCGCUCUUUCACCAGUGCAGCAGUCCAUGCAGGGAAAGCCAUUACAUCUCUUUUCCUUCCAGCAAGAUGUUCUAUUCUAUCACCUCAUGCUUAUCCAACAAGCAACUGUCAGAGACUGAGAUCUGACAGAGAUGUGAACCCCCAGCUUCCUGGCUGGCAGCAUUAAUGGCCAUGCUUGCAGAGUGUUUUGCUGUCUUAAUAGCAGCUGUCAUCACCACUAUGGGAAUGCCUCUCACUCUGACCAGCAGCCACAGAAGAUUAAUGUGUGUGAUCCUAGAGGAAUUGUUUCUUCUGGCUGCUGAUGUGCCACAAUUAGCACCUUCAUCUCUAAGCUGGUACUUUGUUCCUUGUUAAUAAAAUGAUUGUUGAGGAUUUCCUUCCAGAGAGUUGGGGGAGUGCCAUGUGAGAGAGGCAGUGAUGAUGAAUCCGCUGAACACAGGCACAGCUUGGGAGUGGUGCAGAGAUUGUAUUGCUCGUGUCACCACCUCAUUACUGUUGUUGGUUUUUAUGGCACCAUAAACAUUGGGCCGCACCGUUUCCCUCCCAUCGCAGACAGUGAAACGAUGGAGCUAUCAGCACCUCCAAGGAGGCACUCAACAUCUUGCAGGAGUGAACUCGGUGCCUAUACAAAGGAUAGUGUAGAAGCAGCCAAGGAGAAGUUGGAGCACAGGCAUCCGUAGGACAAACUAGGCAUCCUCUCCUGAGGCUGAGGGGUUACAACAACAUUUCAAAAGAAAACCUCAUCUCCAAAAUGGAGACAUACAGCACUAAUGUUCUCUUGUCAUACUAUGAUUUCAAAGUGUAAGAAGUAGCCACACUCUAUGAUGUCUCCUGUUGCAAAGUAAGGAAAUAUAGCAUCUUCACAGUUGUAUCUAUACCACCACUAGUGUGCGAGGCAAGUUCUGCAAUUUUUAGCAGGGAAAUUGUGCACAAGUGAAGCCUUGAAGCAUGUGGACGUUCCCAUAACUGGUUAACAGAAGAAAUUCAAGCAACUGACUCACUGACCUGCAUUCAUUUUCACUGCGGUCUUCAAACCCUAGACAGCAGGGGAGAGCCUGCUCAAAGCUGCAGUCAUUUCUGAACCAUGAGCUAUCUCCAGUGCAGCGUAGUCCUCUCACAGCUUCGUGGGGACCAUGCUCAUUUGGUCACAUAAUGCAAAAAAGCAGGAACCAUGAUACACGCUCUAGAUGCCAUUGUAAUGCUUUCAGAGCUAGCAAAGGGAGGAUGUUUCACUGGUAAUGGUGCUGGGGAAGAGUCGGUUCAUACCUAGGUUCAGCUGCAGACUUCACAGGCAUCUCCAUACCAUUUCACACCAUUAAGCUCCCUGAGACGGUGCAUUAGGACACAGAUGUUGUGUGGCUGGAUCUGGAGUGCUCCCACCGAGGGACUGCAGGAAGAUCGUAGAAAAAGUCUGAACGGGACCACAAGAAAUUGUUUAGCCAGCCGCUGUGACUCAAGACUGUGUCUCCAAUACCUAAACUACUGCCUGCAGACAGCAGCGUGACCUGCCUGCUCUCAGAAGCCUGCAGCACUGGGAAAUCCACAGCUUCCCUCCACAAAUUAUUCAGCAGCUUAGCUAUUCCUGUGCACUCCCUACAGUCUCAUCAAAAUUUCCUCAGCUACACUUUAAACUUAUGACUUAUUGCCCUUAUCACAAUAGAUUCAGUAAAUAUUUUAUUCCUUUUCUUUUUGCAAUUACCUUCCACAUACUUGAGCACUGUUAUCAUGUCUUUCCUUAGCCUUUCCACUCCAGACUUAAAUAAACCAAGUCUUUUAAUCUUUCAUCACAGGCCACGUUUUCUAGAGCUCUGAUAAUUCCUCUUGCUUUUCUUUGGACUUCUUCCAACUGACCUUCCCGUUUCUUGCUUCAAACUGAAUAGUCUGCUAGCUGGAGUGUCACGGUGUGAGCAGACUGGCAGGUGAUCUAUCAGCUCACAAAACACAGUGAGGCCAAGUAAAAUCGAAGCAGAUGAGUACAUCAUCAGCUCCUAGUUUAUCUACUAUCUGUAAUGUUUCUACUGAGUCGUAUUGUUUACUGGUAUGCCAGCUGACACCAAAGAAGCUUUGUGUUCCUUUCCACCUACAUUUUGGCCAACUGUAGUCUGAUUAAUGUUCAUAGCAAGAGGUGAGAUGGGUUCCAAGCCUGCUCUUUUUAAACCAUCCAUCAUUAUUAACCUACUAAGCCAAAUGAAAAUGUUCUUUGAUGAUAGCUCCUGCCCCUGGGGAGGAAGAAGUUGGAAGAAAAGUUGGAGAGAAUGAAACAUUUCAUUAAUUACCCCAUAGCAACUCAGUGGGAGGCUGGAUAUUUUCCUAAACUCCCAAACUGUUUUGUGCACACAUCCUCCCCCACAUUUUUUUCUACUUGGUACAUUAUUUCCAUCUCUCUGCUAAACUCUUGGUGUUGCCAGUUUCCAUGCUAAGAUCUCGCACAAACUCCCUUGCUGGUGAAAACGGGGUCAUUUCUAUGAAUCACUCAGACUGAGAGGAGUUAUCACAUGCCAAGAUGCUUGUGAUGGAUAGACUUUAAUGGAAGCUGUGACUUCACAUAUUUAUAUGUAUAGAUCAGCCUCCAGCUGUAGAAGGAUUCCCUCACCUCUAUCAGUUCAACUUGGGAUGUGAUCUCGCCACACUUUGCUUUCUCAUGGAAUUCCUCCAAGUAAAGCCCUCAUUGCUGUGGGAAGCUUGCUUUAGCUUUAGUAGUUGCCCUCCACCAUUUCAGCUUCCAAGCCAGUCUCUUAUUGUAAAGUUUGCCUGGUGUCCACAUAAAUCAUCGUGCUCAUGGUAAAGGAUUGAAGCCAAAUCCCUCAACACCAGCAUCCCCAAUCCCUGUAACUUUUUUUGAAACUAUGUAAGUUGCCUGUAAAGUAGCAAUUUACUCCAGCAGUUACAUAUCUUUCUUAAACUUGGAUGUAACAUUGCUAUAAUAGUUCCUGCUUUACUUUAAAAGUGGCUGCAUUCAAAGAAAGGAUUUUUGCAGCCAGAGCCUGAGUAGGCAAUGACAUUUUUUCUCACGUGCUUCUUUAAAGCACACACACAAAUUCCUCUUUGUGUAAUGAGCCCCCAAGCUGUGGGGAUGGUCCUGUCAAGAGCAAGUCUGAAGUUCUCUGUUCUUUGCCCUGUGUUGGCUCUGAACUGCUGCUGGAUGUAAUGCUCUUCCCUCCACUUCUCCUUGCCAGGUUUAUCAGUCAUUUGAAAAAAAGAAAAAAGAUGCUCUUGCUUAGCAUUUUGUUUCUGUAGGAUUUCUUUUCUUCAAUGCGAUGUAAAGGAUAAGCUCUGUGUUAUUGUCUUUGGAUAUGGAAUUGCACAGUUUAAAGACCCACUCUUAAAACAAUGUAGAUUAAGGCUGGAUUGAGGCUGGACUAAGGCAAUGUUCACUUUAGGAAUGCCAAAUACUAAUAUUGGUCAUUUUUAAGACUUUAUCAGUGUGCACUUCUGGAUUAACAGUUAAUUAAAAAAAAUCCCUCUGGUGCUCUUAUUUAUUCAAAUAGUGUAUAGGCAGGAGGUGAGAUUAAAAAAUAACCCCUCCAUAAUUUUAUAUUGAGUUCCUGAUUACAGAUUGCCAGUGUGUGUCAGUUAAAUAUAAAUGCAAAAUAGUUCACUUUUUUUAAUUCUCUAAAGAUCUGAAUUGCUAAUGAUAGACAUUGCAGAGUGGAAGGAAAAAUCAUUAACUGUUUAUAUUCACAAAUUAAAAUGGUGUUUUUCCAUUCCUAAUGAAGGCUGAAAGAAAUGCCAGGCCGUGUACUUUUUUGGACUCUGUACACUGUGAGCACAUUUCCCUGGUUGGGAACCGGCUCCUGGUGAGUGCCGCGCCCACAGCUUCCAAAAAUUCCAGAUGACUACAAUUUCACCUCAUGGGACCAGAAACCAAAAUUGUACCAGAGAUCCUGGCAUUCAAAUCCAACCCUCAAUUCCCUUUACACUCAAAAAGGCAGGAACUCUCAGUUUUGUUUUUGACAUCUCUCACUCCACAUGGUAUCUAGCUUAUUAUUUGGCUCUCUGGACUUCUUUUUCAUUCCAGAUUUUUCUGUUAUUACUAUAGCAUCUUUACUCCAUCUACUCUGUGGACAAUACAUUAGACAAACUUUGGGAAAACAUCUCUGUUCCUCAGUGUAUUUGCUAAAAAGGCUGAAAGUUAAUGUUUUCUCCGCGCAGGAGGCAAUUUGUGUGUAUCAACCAAGGAAUAAUGUUGGUUGCCUGUGGCUCUAAAAUACAAUAUUCUUCCAUGGACUUAAUGCCACAUGAGGUGUAUGGCUCUGAACUGCUAAGGGGAGCUGGUGUAAGUUCUGGGAGGCCAUUCAGCAGCAUCCCCAGGGACAAUCACCAGGGCAGACCAUGGUGGGGAAGAACCCAGUUCAGGUAGCAAUGAUUUCUUUACUUGAUGUAAACUUGGUUUCAAGCCCAGAAACCUUUCUUAACCUUACAAACCUUUCUCAACCUUUCAAACCUUCCUCAUUGUUGUGAUAAUAUCACAAAGCUGAAUAAAUAUUUGAAAAUGCAAAUAGUAAGUUUUUCCAUUUUGUUAAAUUGAAUUGCUGAAGUUCCUCUGCAGUCAACAGGAGCAGCAAAAAGGCCCAUCAGAGGUGAAGGAGAGCUGACACCUUCUCAGGAGGAUUCACUGAAAGAGAAAGGAGAGAAAACAAUAAGUGUGAUCCACCCUCCGAGUUCCCCAGAGUCAUUCAGGCCUGAAUCACUGCAUGUGCAGAGGCCGAUUAAUUGGAAAGCAUUUAUUAAUGAUUUAGGAAUAUGCUGACCCUUGGCUACAUGCUCAUCCCCAGCAAGUUUCUCAUACCACUGAUUCAGUCAAGCCUCUUCCAACAUGUGCCAUUGCACAGAGGUACCUGCUCACUUGCAUAGUAGGAAGUAAUGCAGGAAAGUACACUAGCCCGAGGGAAUGAAAACAGAGUAUAAAUUUACACUGUCACUUCAAGUCUGAGCCUGUUUUUAAAUCCUCAUGUGCCUUCUCUCCAUCUUGUUUACCAGAACUUCAGCUAAGCCUUGGAACUUUCUUGAGGAUCAAGUGUAAGCGUGCUCCAUGCUGUAGCAUAUUCCAUGUACGCAUUCGUGUCAGUGGGGAAGUUCCCACUUGCCUCUUGGCUGAAGCAUGGAAACCAGAUGUCAGUGCCCUGGAUCUCCGUAACCAAAGGGACAAGGCAGUGAGGUCACUAAUUAAUUCCCACUGGGAUUUCCAGACAGAAUCAGUGUGAUUAAUCUAAAUAGAGGACGCGUCUGUGUGACUAAACACAGCCUUCACUGAACAGGAUGGAUGGAGGAAGUUAAAGCGUGUAUGCCUGUCUGCGGAGGGAGAACAUGACUUUCUCAAGACCAUCUGGGUUUUGCUUUCUUUUGAUAGAGAUGGAUUUGACUCACCUCUUAGAGCACGAUGCUGUC